CCUGCCAGUAGUCAUACGCUCGUCUCAAAGAUUAAGCCAUGCAUGUGUAAGUAUAAAUAGUUAACUUUGAAACUGCGAAUGGCUCAUUAUAUCAGUUAUAGUUUAUUUGAUGAAAAGUACUACUUGGAUAACCGUAGUAAUUCUAGAGCUAAUACAUGAGUAAAUCCUCGACUUUGAAGAGGUGUAUUUAUUAGAAUGAAACCAAUAGACUUCGGUCUGUUUGUGAGUAAUAAUAACUAAUCGUAUCGCAUGCUUAGGUAGCGAUAUGUCUUUCAAGUUUCUGCCCUAUCAGCUUUGGAUGGUAGUGUAUUGGACUACCAUGGCAGUAACGGGUAACGAAGAAUUUGGGUUCGAUUUCGGAGAGGGAGCCUGAGAGAUGGCUACCACAUCCAAGGAAGGCAGCAGGCGCGUAAAUUACCCAAUCCUGACAUAGGGAGGUAGUGACAAUAAAUCACAAUGCGGAACUAUUAGUUUUGCAAUUGGAUUGAGAACAAUGUACAAAUGUUAUCGAUAAACAAUUGGAGGGCAAGUCUGGUGCCAGCAGCCG
rnacentral:rRNA from 1 species